ensembl:lncRNA
UGGAGAGUGAGGUGUAAACUGUGUGUGUGUGUGUGCUGGAGAGUGAGGUGUAAACUGUGUGUGUGUGUGUGCUGGAGAGUGAGGUGUAAACUGUGUGUGUGUGUGUGCUGGAGAGUGAGGUGUGAACUGUGUGUGUGUGCUGGAGAGUGAGGUGUAAACUGUGUGUGUGUGCUGGAGAGUGAGGUGUGAACUGUGUGUGUGUGUGUGUGUGCUGGAGAGUGAGGUGUAAACUGUGUGUGUGUGCUGGAGAGUGAGGUGUAAACUGUGUGUGUGCUGGAGAGUGAGGUGUAAACUGUGUGUGUGUGCUGGAGAGUGAGGUGUAAACUGUGUGUGUGUGUGUGCUGGAGAGCGAGGUGUAAACUGUGUGUGUGUGUGCUGGAGAGUGAGGUGUAAACUGUGUGUGUGUGUGCUGGAGAGCGAGGUGUAAAGUGUUUGAGCAGCUGUUCUGUAAGAGAGGUUAUACUACAGAUUUGAAAGACAGUGGGAGGAGUUUAUCUGGGGGAAGGUGGUGGGAGGAGUUUAUCUGGAGCAGUGGUGCUGUAUUGUGUUAUAAACAGUGAUAAUAGGAUUAGAAUAUUGUGAUCAGAUCUGAAAGUCAGGAUAAUAAUAAUAAUAAUAAGAAGAAGAAUAAUUUACAAAUGAUCACGUUUAUUGUUCCUGCAG